UUUCUUCUAUUGGCCGUAAUAUCCCAGUCUGAUUGCCCAAUUUGCCGUUGUCGAUAACAAUACAAACAACACUGCUCGCGUCAAGGUGCCACGAUCGUGGUCACGCACUGAAAAAAUCGUUUUAUUUGACGUCGAUCUUGGGGUAAAAAACAAAACAAAAUCAACUACAGCGCAAGGAGAACUUUUUCUAGAAGCCUCCUGAAUUCUGCUUUUGAGCGAUCCGUCAAUAAUAAAAUGAACACUGAAGAGUUAAAUCACAAGACAACCACAAUCAUGCCGCAAAAGUAUCUGGAAACAAGAAACACACUAAUGACACUCGAAUGUAACACAGCGAACAAACACCAGCACACGAUGAUUCAACGAAUAAGAGUCGCAUCGCAAUUGAAUGAAGUUGACCAGAUAAAAAAGAAACCUAAUUUACACUUCUAUCGGAGACAAAAAAAUUUACAAAUCCGACGUCAAUAUACACGCUAACGUGCAGCCACGAGUUGCGCGCAAGUAAUUAAGAAAAAAAGGCGCACCGCGCGAGGCGUGCGCGUGAAAGGAUGCAAAAAUUGAAUAAGAGAUCUAGCGAUCGAAAAGUGCGUGCAUUGCUUAGCACCCUUCGACACACAAGAAAAGCUAAAAAAAUUCAAACAUGAGCGGAUAUCAGGGGAAUGAACCUUUCAACGACUUCAUUGAAACAGUGAACAUAGGAAUACGUUUUUGGAAUAUAUUUUCUCCAGAUGUAAUAUUAACUUACGUUUCCAGGACAAGGAGUAAGUUGUCGUCAGAUACGAGUUUCACUUUGAUGAACAGGUCAAAAUUUUUUAGCUGUAAAUUGGAUCAUUUCAGGUUUUCAUAUCAUAUACGGCGAAAUAGUGGAUAGGAAGGAUGAGUCGGGAACUAUCACUUUGAAAGUUGAAUCAAAUGGAGGAUCCAUGUACAUCAUCACACGAGAAAAAGGAGUCUAUAGUGCAUACGAGACAAAAGGUUGGAGGAUUUGGCUACGUGCAGGGAGGAGUUAUAUCAAACGGAAGCCUCAAAGCUGAUCUUCCUGCACACAUUUCAGCUCGUUUUGAUGUUAUCUAUUUGAAUUAUUCGAGAUAGUAGAGCUCCUUUUCGCACAAUGCAGAAAUUAUUGUACACUGAGCUACAUUAGUUUAUUAAAGCGUUUGCAUAAUUACACUGGUCGUGCUUCACUUGCAAAAAUUCUUAAUUUAAUGGCUAAAAUUCUCCAUAUCCUAGAACCUUUAUUAAGGAACAUAAGCCUUUGCUUCCUCGGAGUUUCCGCAACAAUUUCUUAACUGAAAUAUGAAGAGAUAAUGCCAACAUAUUGAGUUGAGUUAAUCAACAGACUCCAAAUCGAUUUAUAAGAUUGUAGAUAAAUUUCUUUAGUUUCGACAGUAGAUACCUCGGCUGGUACAGAAACUACUAACUCUACUCCCUCAGUUUAAGCACUAAGGUUGAAAUCAAAAUGCCACAGGAGAGACUCUCAGGCGAUAAAUAAAAUAACGAAAGUCCGAAAUAAACAACCUAGAAUUAGGUAUAUUUAUUUCAAGGAAAUGCGCACCAAGAAAAUGUAUUUUCGCUUCUGCGCAUGAGGCCUGGCAAAUGCGCCUGUGAAUAAGGUCUCACAAACUCAAAAUUAUACUCGGUGGAAAAACGUUGCUCAUCAACUUUGAGAUAAAAGAUGGCAGGGUUUCAGGGACCGGAGCCAUCGUCAAGAUUUUGUGACAUAAUAAAUGUUGGAAGGAAAGAAAGAGGACAAAGAAUUCGACCUCAUGAUGUAACAAUAUUCUACAAGGUGAACUCGGGAAGAGGAGGUAAGUCACAGUUGAAAUGGCAUUCCUUACAACAUUUUGACGCCUUUACUUUGAGAAAAUUGUAUUUUAAAAUUAAUAAUUUUGUUUUUUUCACGUAUUAGAGUUUGAAGUCCAGGGAGGAAUCAUUUUCGACUCGACACAGCGCUACGGACGACACACAAUAACAGUUGUUGCGGCGCGCGGAUACACAUUUGGCUUCACUCGUGAUUCUGGGGGCGAAUUUCAGUUCACCACUUCACAAGAUAACAUUUGGGGAGAAAGAUUGGACCGUGUGAACUUAUGAAAUCGAGAAAAUACUCCUUCUGCUUGAUCUUCUUCUUGGAUCGCUCAAAAGGGGACCGCAAUUGACAAGAGCUCGCCAGACAGUCCAUUCAUUUAACUUCAUUAAAACAUUUCACUUGAGUUGUUAUGUGAAUAAAAAUCAUGUUGACUACAGUAAACAACACGAAACGUUCA